ACGAAGUGUGCUAGUUACUGCACACUGCGUGUUGUUUGAAAACUUCCUCUGUGAUUGUUGAUCACACUAUAAGAUCGCUGCCUUUCAAUGAUUCAGCAGGAGUGAGUAGUAUGAUGCUAGAUUUUGUUACCGGAAGGAUUUUUUUUCGUAUAGAUCAAGUUUAUGUCUCAUGUCAAUCUACACAGUGCUUCAUUAGUUUCUGUAGUUCCACAUAAACAUGGAAAUCUGCAGGUUCAUUUUCUUCCUCCUUCUCUAUCAUGUUUAUAUUCUUCUUCAUAAAUCAAUUUACAGUUUUGCUUAUUUUGUGGGAAAUAUUGGUAUAAUCAGCACUUGUAUAAGCACCAAAUGUAAAUCAGCUGAAAUUAUGAAUUGUUGUUUUUGGGGGCUUUUAGAUGAUUAUGCUUGAUAGAUAAAAAUAGUAAGAUUAUAAUCACUUGUUUACUUUGAUGGAUUGAAACUUUGGGAUAUCCCAAGCACUUCAUUAUGUCUAUCAUUUAAGCUAAUUUUGCUUGAUUUUUAUUGUGGGAUCGGAGAAAUCCUACUUUUGAGGAUAAAAUACUCAGUAAUGCAUCUUAUCAAUCAUGCAAAGUAAAUGCUCCCAUGAUAUACAAAUAAAGAGAAUGUUACUUCUUUCUUGAAGUUUAGUGUUUACUUUUCUUUGGACAUAAAGCUGUGAUUUUUUUUAGACCUUUAUUCACAAUUCCAUUAUCUUGUAAGCAGGUUAUUGGGGUGAAAAAAAGGCAAGUUUCAAUAGGUUCUGGCUCGAAAUCGAGGGAUAAGAUAGUGAUAGUGGAGGAGGUGACUUUGCAGACUGUAUUUGACUCUCUAAAUAGAGCUCUAAUGAGCCAGUGAUGUACUUUGCAAAUAGGUUUGUAUUAUAUAAGAGGCACAGUUCAACAAUUCAUUGCAAUUCCUCAUAUUCUGCCUAUGAAACUUCUUUAACCUCCACAAACGGUGAAAUGCAAGUAACACAUGUACCACACGUUACUUGGACAUAAGUACUAACACUCACCACCCAACCCCUCAAGAAACAAACAAGAGUCUACAACUCCUUUACAAUUUACGCUCAAUAGUGUUUACCUCACAACACUCUAGUGCUAGAACUCGUACUGAAACUAGUACUAGGAAGAAUGAUACUUGUAACAUGUCUGAGGGACACCUAGCAGGAACAAAAGACGCUCGACACUACAUUGUGCAAGAUUAAUUAAUUCAAUUCAGCACGAACUCCUCUCAC
rnacentral:lncRNA from 1 species